UGAUGAAUCUGACCCCUUCUGUAUAUAACAAAACAAAAUACAGUAUGAAUACUCAAAUUCUUUUUGGGUCUUAAAUAUUUGGGGACACAGCGCAAAGGGCUUUAGGUUAACGCCUUUGAAGCGAAGGUAGAGAGAUGGGGGGAAGAAGGCAUGGAGAGCCAACAUAAGUAUGGAGGACAUUGAAGAUCUCUUUGAUAAUUCCACAAAGGAUGCUCUUUCCGGCGGUCCACUCGCUCAAGUUCCUAGCGAUUCUCUCUUUUACGUUGACAAAUCCAGAGAUCUUUCUGUCAAACGGAAAAUUGAAAAACACCGGGAGAAAGUACUUCGAUGUGAUAGUAUGCUACAAUGCAAUACCUUUGUUGAAGUUGUACCUUCUUCAACUGGAAAAAGUCCAAGAAGAAAAGUGAAGUUCAUAUAGCUAAAGAUACUACUUAACAGGGUCAAAAGGAUUCGUCUGGUGGAGAUUCUGGCAUGGUUGACAUUUGGGACGAUAAAGGUG